GCGGAUUUAGCUCAGUUGGGAGAGCGUUAGACUGAAGACGUGCUAAGCGCUGCAAUCUAAAGGUCCUGUGUUCGAUCCACAGAAUUCGCA
rfam:Pachysolen tannophilus NRRL Y-2460 unplaced genomic scaffold PACTA_scaffold_1, whole genome shotgun sequence.